rnacentral:rRNA from 1 species
AGUGAACGCUGGCGGCAGGCCUAACACAUGCAAGUCGAACGGUAACAGGCCCUUCGGGGUGCUGACGAGUGGCGGACGGGUGAGUAACGCUUAGGAAUCUACCUAGUAGUGGGGGAUAACCCGGGGAAACUCGGGCUAAUACCGCGUACGCCCUACGGGGGAAAGCGGGGGACUUUCGGGCCUCGCGCUAUUAGAUGAGCCUAAGCCCGAUUAGCUAGUUGGUAGGGUAAUGGCCUACCAAGGCGACGAUCGGUAGCUGGCUGAGAGGACGACCAGCCACACUGGGACUGAGACACGGCCCAGACUCCUACGGGAGGCAGCAGUGGGGAAUAUUGGACAAUGGGCGCAAGCCUGAUCCAGCGAUGCCGCGUGUGUGAAGAAGGCCUGCGGGUUGUAAAGCACUUUCAGUAAGGGAAGAAAAGACCGAGUGCUAAUAUCACUCGGUCUUGUACGUUACUUACAGAAGAAGCACCGGCUAACUACGU